CAUUAUACACCAACAAAAACACAAAACACCAACAAAUCACAAAAGAUAAAACGCGCCAGCAAAAUGCUUACUGGCACGACAUAUUAAUUUUUUUUUCAAUGCUGCCAAUUCAUUUAGCAUUUCAAUCCAUGUUGGCUGUUCAGGGAGUGCCCGAUAGACAUCCCUGAGCCGUACUACACUUUCAAUGAAGUGAUCGCGUGCAGAUCUCACUACGACAUCAGCAUUAUUGAACUGCGUUCUAGUUUUCCAAAAACCGUGGAGGCCCAGGAGCAUUAUAGCGUCAUACGGAAAACCCUCUGUUUCGCCCGGCAAGAAUCUUAUUCCCUGUGGAUCUAAAGGUAACUCUUUCUUUAAUGUCCUUUGAAG
rnacentral:lncRNA from 1 species